CAAAGAGCCAUAAAGCCCUGGGAGAUGAGGAGUGGAUGGCAAGGCUUAGGGGAUUUUCCAGCGUUGGGGUUUGGCCGUCAAAUGCAGGGAAUAGACCUGCCCCGAGGCAGAAGAAGUGGCAUGCUCUCUAUCAGAAGGACCCCUAGCCUGGCACGUUCCUCUGUGAGAACCUCUGGCCCCUUUCCAUCCUCUGUGAGGACCCCUAGCCUGGCACCUUCCUCUGUGAGGACUUCUGGCCCCUCUCCAUCCUCUGUGAGGACCCCUAGCCUGGCACCUUCCUCUGUGAGGACCUCUGUCCCCACCUUGGCCCCUCUCCAUCCUCUGUGAGGACCCCUAGCCUGGCUUCAUCAUCCACAACACCGACACACAUCUGCCAGACAGUUUCACCUGAGGAGCCUGCAGCGUGUGUGCAACAGUCAGAUGCAGCUGGUGAUGCAGGACCUGGCUGGUUGCCGAGUGAGAUGAGGAAGACCAUUCCUGUACAGGACCAGAGAUGGAUGGGAAAUACCCUCUUUCAUGCCGGCAAAGUGCGCCCAGAUUUCAAGUUGUGGUAUGAGCCUCCUGUACCAGCCCUCACCUACCACCAGGUACCAACACCCGAUUGUUUUUUUACCCACCGGCUUCUGGUGUGGAUGCCCUAUCAUCAGUGGAAAGUUAGGGUGUUCUGCAAAGCUUGUGGGAAGCAUCUUACGGGGGCUGGUGUUCCACCACAUGCUCCGGCUCUGGCUCCCACUAAAGCACCCCGAAAACUGACCCACAAGGU